GCAGUGGGGAAUAUUGGACAAUGGGCGCAAGCUUGAUCCAGCCAUGCCGCGUGUGUGAAGAAGGCCUUCGGGUUGUAAAGCACUUUUGUUCGGGAAGAAAAGCUACCGGUUAAUACCCGGGAGUCAUGACGGUACCGAAAGAAUAAGCACCGGCUAACUUCGUGCCAGCAGCCGCGGUAAUACGAAGGGUGCAAGCGUUACUCGGAAUUACUGGGCGUAAAGCGUGCGUAGGUGGUGCGUUAAGUCUGUCGUGAAAGCCCCGGGCUCAACCUGGGAAUGGCGAUGGAUACUGGCGCGCUAGAGUGCGGUAGAGGAGAGUGGAAUUCCCGGUGUAGCAGUGAAAUGCGUAGAGAUCGGGAGGAACAUCAGUUGCGAAGGCGGCUCUCUGGACCAACACUGACACUGAGGCACGAAAGCGUGGGGAGCAAACAGGAUUAGAUACCCUGGUAGUCCACGCCCUAAACGAUGCGAACUGGACGUUGGGAGCAACUAGGCUCUCAGUGUCGAAGCUAACGCGUUAAGUUCGCCGCCUGGGGAGUACGGUCGCAAGACUGAAACUCAAAGGAAUUGACGGAAGC
rnacentral:rRNA from 1 species